ensembl:lncRNA
UUCGGCAAACAUUUUUAUUUGUUUUUUUAUACAUGAAUUGCAGUUGGGCCCAGGCGAAUUGAAACAAAGUGUGUACGUCCAACAUCGGAUGGGACCCAACCAAGUCCACAUCGAUGUGAUUUCACACUGGAGAGAAACCGCAGCUUGGUCCAAGCGCAGGUGAAUUUAAACAAAGCAUUACACACCUCAAUGUGAUGUAACACCGAUGAGGACUUGGUUGGGUCCCAUCAGAUGUUUGACUACUUUGUUUAAAUUCACCCGGGCUCAGACAAAGCUGGGGUUUCACUCCUGUGUGAUGUCACAUCGAUGUCGACCUGGUCGGGUCACUUCAGUUGUUUGACGUACAUACUUUGUUUAAAUUCACCUGGGCCCAGACAAAGUAUGGACAUCAAACAUCGGAUAAGUCCAGCCCAGGUCCACAUCGAUGUGACAUCCCACUGGAGUGAAACCCCAGCUUUGUCCUAGCGUAGGUGAAUUUAAACAAAGUAUGACACACCUCAGUGUGAUGCAACAUCGAUGAGGACUUGGUUGAGUCCCAUCAGAUGUUUCAAUACUUUGCUUAAAUUCACCCGGGCUUAGACAAAGCUGGGGUUUCCCUCCUGUGUGACUUCACAUCGAUCUGGACUUGGUCGGGCGCCAUCAGAUGUUUGACGUGCAUACUUUGUCUUCACAAUGUAAUACAUUUUAUUUUGCAGUUGUUUUUUUUGGGUUUUUAUAUGCUAUUUUCUUUUCUUUCCUUUUUUUUUUCUUAGCGCACACACGACCCACACUGGAACCGGGCCGCAAAUGUAGACAUCUCCUUCAUUCUACGGUUCAGCCACUUGUUGACCCGGGGCCUGAGGCUCGUCCCCUCAGCCUGAGCUGUGGCUUCCCCCUCCUCCUCAGCCUCGAUGACCAGAUCCUGAUGUUCAGGGGUGUUCGGGGGUGCGUCGGUGGUGAUGACGGCCUUUGGGUCGGCCCAGGCCAUCUUGAUUCGCCUAAAGGUGUUCUGGCGUGAAGGGCGGCCCAAAGGCUUCUCCUCAUCAAGCCGGGAGGUGGAUGCUGGUUGAACCCUCUUCUUUUUGAGGCCCUUCACCCGAAACCUCAGGUUCCCCAUGACCUGGGCCAGGGCCUUUGUGGGGGGGCUGUCUGGUAAACACACACACAAGCAGGUAAACACACACACAAGCAGGUAAACACACACACAAGCAGGUAAACACACACACAAGCAGGUAAACACACACACAAGCAGGUAAACACACACACAAGCAGGUAAAAACAACAAUGCGCAAACUCACCAGGUUCAUUGGCGGUCUGGCCUUGGUCCAGGGCGGUCUGGCUUGGGUCUGGGGCGGUCUGGUCUUGGUCCGGGGCGGUCUGGUCUUGGUCCGGGGCGGUCUGGCCAGGGAAGGGGCUCCGGCCUGAAGGGCGGCCCAAAGGCUUCUCCUCAUCAAGCCGGGAGGUGGAUGCUGGUUGAACCCUCUUCUUUUUGAGGCCCUUCACCUGGAACCUCAGGUUCCCCAUGACCUGGGCCAGGGCCUUUGUGGGGGGGCUGUCUGGUAAACACACACACAAGCAGGUAAACACACACACACAAGCAGGUAGACACACACACAAGCAGGUAAACACACACACAAGCAGGUAAUAAUAAUAAUAAUAAUAAAUUAAAUUUAUAUAGCGCUUAAUAUAGUACUCUAAGACGCUUUACAUAUUGGCCUAUCAAAACUAUGUAAGACAGACUAGGAAUAAAAGAAAAACAGAGGUUAAACAUGAAGAAUAAGGUGGGAGUUAGGUGGGGAAGGCUAGUGUGAAAAGGUAUGUUUUGAGGGCAGAUGAUUUAUUUAUUUAUUUUUUUUUUUUUUCAAAGUGCAAACAUACAUUUACAGACACCACAUAACACGACAAAACCCAGAUAUGUGCGAUAGACAUGUAACAUAUACCAAAACAUAAAGAAUUAUACGGGGACAAGGACAGAUUACGAGAGGGUUUGGGGAGGUGUUUGUGAGAGGGAGUGUGCGUGCGUGCGUGCGUGCGUGCGUGCGUGCGUGCGUGCGUGCGCGGCCAGAUGCUUUCCUCCGGCAUCUCCGACCCCCAACGCGAUAGAGGUCCCACCCGAAGCACCCUAUCCCCCCUGAUGAACCCCCCCCUCCCCAGGGCAGCCGGCCCCCGGCCGUGGGAGGCCAGAGCAGCACAGAGGAGAGUUUCAGUCUGGUGAAAUUAGUUAAUAUGUGUAGGUUAUAGUUACAGAGAAAGGGAGAGAGAGUAAUUAAAUGAACUGAAUAAACAAAUAUGCAAAAAUGAAAGAGGGGGGUGGAUGGGCCUCAUCACAACCCUAUUGAUUGAUUAACAGUGGUAAUGGAGGUGAGGCCUAUUUGGUGGGAGUACUGGUAAGUGGAAUGCGAGGGCCGUGUCUCAGGCAGAGGGGGCCAGCGGAGCUAUGACUGUAGGAAGUUGGAAAGUGAGGGCCAGGUUGGGUUAUUACCAGUUGAGUUGUUUGAGAGUUCUAGUGAGAUGUGAUCUAAUAGUAGGUUUUUCCAGAUGGAAAUAUGAAUAUUAUUUUUUGAUUUCCAGUUUAUGAGGAUAGUCUUCUUGGCGACAGCUGGCGCAACCAACAAGGUUGUAUUGCUAAAGUGAUUUAGGUUGAUUGUAGUGGUAUCUCCAAGCAGACAGAGUGACGGGGAGGUUGGGAUGCAGCAGCCAAAGAACGUGGUGAGUAGCCCUGUGAUCUUUUCCCAGAAAUGUGUAAUAGGGGAGCAGUGCCAAAGUGCAUGAAUAUAGGUGUCCGGGCAAUUUUGGGUGCAAUGGGGGCAGAUGUCUGAAGUGAAACCCAUGCGAAAUGGUUUAUGUCCUGUGAGGUGAGUCCUGUGGAUAAUUUUAUAUUGUAUUAACUGUAGGUUUGUAUUUUUGGUCAUGAGAAAGGUAUUUUUGCAGAUUUGAGUCCAGAAAUUGGCAUCGGUAGAGAUAGAGAGAUCUGUUUCCCAUUUGGCAGAUGGUAGACUUGUCGUGGUGUCUGUCUGUAUCAUUAUUUUGUAGAUUUUGGAUAGUAAUUUUUUGGGCGAUGGUAUGUUAAUAAGCUGUGAGACAGGUGUAGGUAGAUCUAAAUUGGCUUUUGCUGUAUUCACGGUUGCUUUAAUUGCGGAAUUAAUCUGUAGAUAUUGUAAAAUGUGUUUGUGGGUGAUGCCGAAUUUCUGGACCAAGUCCGCGAAUGUGGAGAAUUUUACGUCGGUGAGCAAGUGUUGUAUAUGUGUAAUGCCUUUAUCUUUCCAGGAGUGGAGGUUUAGGGUUAUUUUAUUACAAGUGAAAUCAGGGUUAUUCCAAAUUGGGGAGAGUUUUGAGGGUGAGUGUUUUGAGUUAGUAAUGUGAGGGCAGAUUUGAAAGAAGAGAGGGUUGGAGAGACUUUGAUGUGGGAGGGGAGUGAAUUCCAAAGGGUGGGGGCAGCAACUGAGAAGGCCCGAUCACCCCAAGUCCGUCGCUCAGUCCGUGGAACUUGUAGCAGGUUGGCAGAAUUGGACCUGAGGAAUCGGGAGGGGGCGUGGUGAUGGAGGAGGUCGGCAAGGUAGGGGGGGGCUAGGCUGUUGAGGGCCUUGUAGGUGAUGAGUAAGACACACACAAGCAGGUAAACACACACACAAGCAGGUAGACACACACACAAGCAGGUAAACACACACACAAGCAGGUAAACACACACACCAGCAGGUAAACACACACACAAGCAGGUAAACACACACACAAGCAGGUAAACACACACACAAGCAGGUAAACACACACACACACAAGCAGGUAAACACACACACACAAGCAGGUAAACACACACACAAGCAGGUAAACACACACACACAAGCAGGUAAACACACACACAAGCAGGUAAACUCACACACACAAGCAGGUAAACACACACACAAGCAGGUAAACACAAUGCAGCCAGCUCACCAGGCACAUUGGCCUGGCUCAGGCCACCAAAGGGCCUGAGCCUUCUCCCUGGUGUUGGGGUUCUGUCAGAAAUGAACGACAGAACUGUGUUUAGUGACGACCAUAGUGGCUGCUGUGUGUUUGUUGCUGCUAUGGGGUCUGUUUUAGUGACGUGAGUGUGAGAGUCGCUCAGUCAAUGUUUUGUGAUUAUUCUGACGUAUAACACGCACACACACUUACACGCAUGCACACACACAUGCACACGCACACACGCACACAUGCACACACAUACAAGCAGCUACACACACACACACACACACACACGCAAGCAGGUAAACACACACACACACACGCAAGCAGGUAAAAACAACAAUGCGCGAACUCACCAGGUUCAUCUGCGUUCUGGUCUUGGUCCAGGGCGGUCUGGCCUUGGUCCGGGGCGGUCUGGCCUUGGUCCGGG